CUAUGGAGCUUUAAACACUUAAGUUACUAUCUCUCUUAUCAAUUAAUCUAAAGACCUAACCUACCCUAAUAGUAACCUAACUUAAUGUUUUCGGUUGGGGCGACCAAGGAGUAAAAGAAAACCUCCUUAUCGACUGAGUAUUUUUACUUAAAAAUCAGAACGACAGUUCUGAUCAAUAGAAUAUCUAACGAAUAAUGACCCAGGGCUAUACCCUGAUCAAUGAACCAAGUUACCCUAG
rnacentral:rRNA from 1 species